rnacentral:rRNA from 1 species
ACAGAGGUCUCAAGCGUUGUUCGGAAUCACUGGGCGUAAAGGGUGCGUAGGUGGCGUGGUAAGUCAGAUGUGAAAGCCCGGGGCUCAACCUCGGAAUUGCAUCCGAUACUACCAUGCUAGAGUACUGAAGAGGUGACUAGAAUUCUCGGUGUAGCAGUGAAAUGCGUAGAUAUCGAGAGGAAUACCAACGGCGAAGGCAGGUCACUGGGCAGUUACUGACACUGAGGCACGAAGGCCAGGGGAGCAAACGGGAUUAGAUACCCCGGUAGUCCUGGCAGUAAACGGUGCAUAUUUGGUGUGGGCGCAAUCGACCGCGUCCGCGCCGGAGCUAACGCGUUAAAUAUGCCGCCUGGGAAGUACGGUCGCAAGAUUA